GAGUCUCAUAAUGUCAUCUGUGCUUCACCAGUGCUGAGCUAUGAAAUUUCUAGAUAAGCUUGCUAUUAUCUGAUAGCAAUGGGCCCUCUGCAACUGCUGAACUGCACUAGGAGGAACAAAAUAUUCCUGACAUAUUUAUUUUCCUUCUGAGCAACAGCUGAAGUAUUGAUAAAGCAGAAAAGCAGGAUAUAAAGUCAGAACUGGAAGGCACAGACUCUGCAACCUAAAGUACAGCAAAAAUGUGGGUCACACUCUGAAAACAUUUGCAAACACUUGACUCAAAGCACUUAGAGAGCAGCAAUAUGCUCACAGACAUGUUUUAUAAGGGCAAACACAUAUACAGUAGUUUAGGGAAAAAAAAAAGAACUGAGAUUACAAACAGGGGCAAAGCAGCUAAAGAUGUGUAAUAACAGCAAAUUAUUCUGCACAAUUUCAGACAGCUCUCCUCAGUACACAGGUUUUGCAAUAGCAUUAGCUACACUGAAAAUAUUUCUUUUACAGAAAAUGUAUGCUUUAAGAUCAUUAUUGUAUAGAGAACCACUUGAGACUUAGGAAACACUAGCUUGAAUUUAAUGUGUAUAAACUUGAUUUGGUCCAUUGUAUUGUACUACAUGGGUGCUGCUUUUCCCCAAAUAACAUCUGCCUGACUCAGAAGAAGGAAUGGAUGUUCUAAAUACUACAAAAUUUAAUUUUUGCUGUUUAGUCUGAGGCUACUUUUUCUUUACUUUUUGCUCAGGUGCUGCUCAAAAUGAGCAAUGAAAACGAAUUUAUAAAAAUAUCAUGGCAGGAGUCAUGACAUUUGACAUGGAAUUAUCUGUGUGUCUAAUAAUGUUCCUCAGCUUAUUUUCAUACUAAUGAAAUAGCACUAUUAUUUGCAUUGGAGAACUGCAUGGAAACAUAUUUGCCUAAAAACUCUCUUUCAUCUCUGAAGCAGACCAUGUUCCAUAUGGAUGCUCUCUUUACUGAGUAUGUUUGUUAAAAUAUUAAGAAUCUGAAAAUUCAAUGAUUCAUUAAAAAGCAAUAAAAUACUAUCAGACAGGAGCAGAUGCUUGUCCUGUUGUCAAACAUGGAAUCUGAAUUCCAAAACUCAGAAGUGUUACAGCUAUUUCAGAAAAAGAACAAUACCAGUCUUAUUCUUGGGAACUUAAGAGCCAUUUUACCUGAAAAAUAUGAAAAGUAAAUAAACUUGGCAAACUAUUCAUGAAAAUAUUCAUCCAGUGAUGAAUAUUUCAUAUUGCACAAAAAAGGGGGCAAAUUUACAAGCAAGAAGAAGAUGGUUGUAUGCACAGGAUCAAUCCACUUCUAAAAUUUUCACCUGUGGUGGGUUGACCCCAGCUAGAUGCCAGGUGCCUACCAAAGCUGUGCUAUCACUUCCCUCCUCAGCUUGACAGGGAAGAGAAAAUAUAAUGUCAGGCUCAUGGGUUGAGAUAAGGGCAGGAGAGAUCACUCACCAAUUACCAUAUUGGGCAAAACAAAUUCAGCUUGGGGAAAUUUGAUUUCUUAGCAAUCAAAUCAGAGAGGAGUAAUGAGAGAAAAUAAUCUUAAACCUUAAAACAUCUUCUCCUCUACCCCUUCCUUCUUCCUGGGCUCAACUUCACUCCUGGUGUCUCUGUCACCUCUAGAAGAGCACAGGGAGACAGGGGAUGGAGGUAGAGAAGUGGCCUGUGGUCAGUUCAUCUCACACACAUCAUUUCUGCUGCUCCUUCCUCCCCAAGGAGAAAUCCUUCACACUCUUCCUGCUCCAGGGUGGGAUCCCUGCCAUGGGACACAGUCCUUCUCUACAUUGUCCAAUGUGGGUCCAUUCCAUGGGGUGCAGUCCUUCAGGAACAGGCUACUCCAGCAUAAGCCCUCCAUGGGAUCACAAGUCCUGCCAGCAAGCCUGCUCCAGCAUGGGCUCCUCUCUCUGUGGGUCCAGAGGCUCCUACAGGGUUCCAGCCUCCUCUGAGCAUCCACCUGCUCCAGUGCAGGUCUCCUCCAUGGGCUGCAGGAGCAGACCUGCCUCACCAUGGGCUGCACCCCAGGCUGCAGAGGAACCAGCUCUGGUGCCUGGAGCACCUCCUUGCUCUCCUUCUGCACUGACCUUGCUGUCUGCAGGGCUGUUGCUCUCACUUAUUUUCACUCUCCUCUCCAGCUGCAAUUGCUCUUGCACAGAAACCCUUUUUCUGUUAUUAAAUACAUUCUCCCAGAGACUCUACCAUCAUUCCUGCUGAGCUCAGUCUUGGCCAGGAGCAGGUCUAUCUUGGAGCUGGCUGGCAUUGGCUCUACUGGACACGGGAGAAGCUUCUGGAAGCUUCACAGAAGCCACCCUGGUAGCAUCACCCCCCACCCCCCAAACCUUCCCACACAAAUCCUACCCAGCAGAGCUUUACUUGCUAAGAUUUUAACCAUUUUCCCUUUGGCAUCACAUCAAGUAGACACAAUAGUUUAGUAAUUAGACAUGCAAGUUUAAGUCCCCUCAGUUUAGACCAUCAUUGGCCUUCAGCUCCCAGUGAAAAAGACAGGAAUACAUCCAAGGCACUGACAUGCUUCCACUUGUCUGGGCUGGCAGUCAGAGGGUACCUAGGGCAGUUAGAGAUGCUCUCUGCUAACAGCAGAUUUUAGAAAAUACAUUUCUAAAAUAAUUCAUACUACAUCAAGAAGAACUUUUUUCCUUUAAAGAGAAUAUGAAUCAUUUAAUGCCCCCUGAAAUCCAUUACUUUCAUGCACUGUAGCAAAAUAAAUAUUUUACAAACAAUGAACUUCCAGAUCUCUGCCUCUGAAUUCUUAUUCAUCUUCAGUUACAAAUUGUUUAAGCCUGGUUUGCCAUCUUAGGGAGCAAGAAAAGCCAGAAAGUUUCUGCACAAAUUAUCUUUUCACAGUGUGCUUGCUAUUUACACUCACUUAAAUAUGUAAAUCUAAUUAUUUGACUCAAAGAUUUCUGCAUAUGCAUUUUAAGAAUGCAGUGUACAUAAGUCUGUUCAUAAUGCUGAGGCCAAAUCCUGCAGUCUCACAGAAGAACCCACAACCAAAUAAACUGACAUGUGGAACAACUAAUUCAGAGAAUGAGAUCUGUUUAAUUAGUCCACUAAAACAAUGUAGGCAGUUGUGAAAUCUGUGUUUUCAGAAGCCUUUUUCUUUAAUCUAUGCUGAAUCUUUUUUUCAAAUCUUUUCCAUGAAGUAUCAGCAGAUCUUUAAGAUCAAGUAUUGUUAGCAAAUGUUCUCCUGAUAUCACUCAUCUGUUAGGUGUUAGUGUUGAUCUUUUUAACAUUCAUAAAACACUUUUCUCUAUUGUAGAAGCAACUGUGUAGAAACAGCUUUGUUUAGAUCUGCCAAGACCCUCUGUCCUGCAAAAUGUUGAGUAUUAAUCUCCAGUAAAAACAAACUCCAAAGGAUUUUUAAUAUUUUUAAUUAGUGUGUGCUUUUUCAUCUCAUUAGAAGUAUAAUCAGUGGAUCAUUUGUAAUGUAAACAUUACUAUUUCUGUAUAUUGAGAACAAACACAAAAUUUUACUUUAGAAUAUUAAUUAAUUUUGAUGUUGAACGUAUCAGAAAAGCUGCCAAUUUGCAUGUUAGUCACUUGCAGUCUUUAGACCUUAGAGGGACUCUACUUAGACAUAAACAGUUAAACACUGAAAGCUAAAAUAGCCAUAAAAAGGACAAAAGAGGAGGAAGCACAUUUUCUACAUCUGAGGCAAAGCAAACAAUUGCAGUAGUAAUUAUAGCCCCUUUCUUUAAAGGAGACUUUAGGCCAAUUGUCCUGAGGCCACUGAAGGAAGAACAAGAUUUAGUUACAGUGGCCAUUUGAUACUGCAAUUUAUUGCUUGCAGUAUUUUCCUUGAAACAAGAUAUUUAAGAGAGCCAGUUGCUUGGUGUUAAAAGCUUAAUUUUCAAAGCAAAUUUGAAGAAUGAUUCCAGAUUUUGACAUGACCAGUCUUCUUAUUACUGCUCACAUAUUUUCCUUGGGCUAUGAAAACAAUUCCAGGUUCUUUUUUUCAUUUUGACCAUAGCAAAUGAAUAAUGUGGCCAUGCAAGUAAUACAGUCAGAAAAUCAAGGUCUGCAAGGCAAUUCUGCUCUUAGGUUCUUUACUGAUGCCUAGUAUUAAUAAUGCUUUAUUAUUAAAUUACUUGCUUAAAUAUGCCUAUUUUUAAAUUUUUUAUAUGCUUUGGAGAAUAUUAUAAUCAGAAUAUAUUUCUGUUAAUAAUUCUUCAUAUAAUAACUUAUAAUGACUCAGAAGUAAUUUUAAGGAAAAAAAAAUUCCAUUUAUGUAAUGAAUAGACAAAAGAAGCCCAAGUCAGGGCUAUCUGUAGGUAUAUGCACAAACUCACCCACUUUUUUAAGACUCAGUGUGUAGAGAUGAAACCAAGAUCAUCAUUGGGAACCUGAGUUGCUAAAAUUAUGUAUUUAAAACUUUAUGGCUGAGAUUUUCCAAACAUCCUGUACUGAUUUGACUCAAACAUAUGGAAAUAAAUGGCCACAGUGAAGUGAUCUGAUGUGGGCAAGUCUAACCUGCUGCCUGGCCUCCAGUUAGGGAGAGCUGACAGAGCUUUGAGCCUCUGGAGGAGCAGCUUGGCACUGCACACGAUGGAAUUUUUCAAGUACUUGUGUGACAGAGGAUUAUAACUAGGCAAAUACAGCUCCCUUCUCUAAAUAUCCAAUAUAUAGCAGUCAGUCCUACUCACAGGAGCUGACAAAACAAGGAUUUGCCAAUACAACUCAGAAGCAGAGGAAAUAUGACAGUCAGUAAAUAUUGAAUGAGCUAUGUAUGUUCUUUCCCUACAGCUGGAAGGGGCUUUGCCAGGAAAUGAUUAGGAAAGUAAAACAGUGAAGAUAAUAUAAGAAAGCACAUAAUCAGAAGAUCAAACCAAAUGAAAGUGAAAUAAGGAAACAAAGAGAGAAAAAGAGGAAAGGAAAAUAGCAAUAAAGUUCAUAUUAGACUAAAAAGGAGCAUUGAGAGAGGACAGAUCAACACACAGCUGCAGAUCACAUAGGCUGGAGUAGAAAAUGGUGGGAAUGGUAGAACAGGAACAUCUCUGAAGUCUAAAAGCUUUGCAUGCAACUAGUUUGACAGGCUCCUGCCAAGCCAAUCUCUAUUUGAGCCUGUUUCAUCUCAGUGACACUCUUCUUCCAUAAACCCACAUCACACAGAGGAUGCAAAGCAUCCUGCUCCCUCUGCUCCUCCUGUGUUAUCUCUGCUCCAACUGGUCCCAUGCUGCUUCCUGCCAGCUCCCCAAACACCCAAUAACCUGAGCCAGUGUCAGGGAAUUUGUGUGCUCGAGCACUGUUUUCUUGUUCCCCUCAUCUGCCUCUGUUCUCUGCCCACAGCUGGGGGAAAAAGAAAAAUACCAGCACAUGCAGAUGCUUAAGGAACAGAUGGGGAAUAAGAGAACUGAUGAAUGUAAUGCCAGCUCUCGAACAUCUCACUAUUAAAAUAUAUAAAAUUAUUUUACUUAGUUUUUCUUAUCUGUACACUGGAAUUAACAUUUCCAAUUUAUUUAUGCACAGUCUUUUAAAACAUGAUGAUGAAAAUUCCUUUAGCAUUGCGAAAUAUUAGUACAAUUAAUGUCAUGGCAUGUUUGAGAAUAAAGGUAUUAUUGAAGUGGUUAUGAGAAUUUGUCAAGUUCUUGUCUCACUCCGACUUCUCAAAUACCAGAAUGAAGAAAGCCCUAAAAAUAGAGGGAAAAGUGGCUGCUGUCCAUUUGAAUGAUAUGAAAAGCUCCAUAUUAGUAAUCUCAGCUCAGUUUCUGAUAGCUAGUUCCUCAGAAUGUACAGCUGCUCUUGAUUUUCCUUGUUCAUUACUAAUAGCAAGUGUCUUGAAUGUAUCAGAAGAUAUUAAAUACAUUAAAAUCUCCUUUUCCCAAUCAAAAGUAAUUAGCAUAUUUUUUUACAUCCUAACCAGGUAUUUCCCUUAUUACUAGUUAUUCUCUUUGGCAUACACAUUGGCUGGGGAGAAGAAGUUCAUAUUUUCCACUGUCUGACAAGACAAUUUAUUCCACAAGGACUAUAAGCUAAGUCAUUUCACAUAUGUGUUUAAAAAAAUCAUUAGAAAUCAAUAUGAAAAAUCAUCAUGUAGCUGGCCACAAGAAAUUCCAAGGUAACUAUUUUUUGUAGAAUCACUGCUAUCUGAAUUGAGGAAAUUAGAAUACACUGCUGACGUUAACACCACCAAAUUUAAAAAAAAA
rnacentral:lncRNA from 1 species